rnacentral:rRNA from 1 species
UACAGAGGUCUCAACCGUUGUUCGGAUUUAUUGGGCGUAAAGGGUGCGUAGGCGGUCGUGCAAGUCGGAUGUGAAAUCUCAGGGCUCAACCCUGAAACUGCAUUCGAUACUGCGUGGCUAGAGUGCUGGAGAGGAGACUGGAAUUUUACGGUGUAGCAGUGAAAUGCGUAGAUAUCAGGAAGAACACCCGUGGCGAAGGCGGCUCUCUGGGACGGUACUGACGCUGAGACGCGAAAGCGUGGGGAGCGAACAGG